rnacentral:rRNA from 1 species
UUGGAACUGUGGUGUUUGAGUCGGGCCUUGGCGCGUUCUCUCUGCGUCCGCGUCCCUCUGAUCGGGGCUUUGCCCAUAGCGGGUGUCAGGCCUCUAGGGCGCGGAGAGUGCGAGCGCGGCUCGAUUCYGGAGUCGGGUUGUUUGAGAUUGCAGCCCAAAGUGGGUGGUAAACUCCAUCUAAGGCUAAAUAUUACCACGAGUCCGAUAGCGAACAAGUACCGUGAGGGAAAAUUGAAAAGAACUUUGAAGAGAGAGUUCAACAGUACGUGAAACCGUUUAGAGGUAAACGGACGGGAACGCAAAGUCUGCCGCUCGGAUUCAACUCGUCAGCCCGCGGGGGUCCGACUUCGCGCAUCCUGCUUCUCUUCGCGGGGGGGCGGGAGCUCGUGGUCGGAUCGUUCUGCGGGCGACGGGCGCACUUUCGGGCGGCGGAGCGCCACGACCGGUUCGCGGGCGAUCAAAAACCGUCGAGAGAGGUAACCUUCGCUUCGGCGUCGGCGCUAUAAUCUCGGCGUGUCGGCGGCUCGCUCGCGGACCGAGGACGACGUACGCGGCCGCGCGUCGACCCGGCGGGUUGUUCGGACGUUCGACCUGGGAGGACUGCUCGCGCAGUGCUUCCUAACCGCGUUCGGAUACGCUCGUCGGACUCGGCGCUCGGCUCGGGGUCUGUGGCGAAUCGGUCGUCAACCCGUCCGACCCGUCUUGAAACACGGACCAAGGAGUCUAACACGUGCGCGAGUCGCAGGGUAGUACGAAACCCGAAGGCGCAACGAAAGUGAACCUUUUCUUACGAAUCGGUAGGUGGGAUCCCGGACCGAAUCCCGCUCGCGGGAAGAAUGGGCGCACCACCGGCCUGUCUCGGCCGCGACGUCGGCGAGGCGGAGCAAGAGCGUACGCGUUGGGACCCGAAAGAUGGUGAACUAUGCCUGAGCAGGAUGAAGCCAGAAGAAAUUCUGGUGGAGGUCCGCAGCGAUUCUGACGUGCAAAUCGAUCGUCAAACUUGGGUAUAGGGGCGAAAGACUAAUCGAACCAUCUAGUAGCUGGUUC